rnacentral:rRNA from 1 species
UAAACUGAAGAGUUUGAUCAUGGCUCAGAUUGAACGCUGGCGGCAGGCUUAACACAUGCAAGUCGAGCGGGGAAAAGUAGCUUGCUACUUGACCUAGCGGCGGACGGGUGAGUAAUGCUUAGGAAUCUGCCUAUUAGUGGGGGACAACAUCUCGAAAGGGAUGCUAAUACCGCAUACGUCCUACGGGAGAAAGCAGGGGACCUUCGGGCCUUGCGCUAAUAGAUGAGCCUAAGGCG